rnacentral:SRP_RNA from 1 species
CUGUGCUAGGCGGGGUGCUAGCGGUGCCCUGUAGCCCGAAAUCCGCUAUAGCGGGGCCGAAUACCCACCCUGAGGUCUUUACGCUUCCGGAUCCUGAAGAUACGUGAUAUAGAAGGUCAAGUCCCGCGCAAUGAUACCUCGCCCAACCCCGUCAGGCCCGGGAGGGAACAGCGGUAAGCGUUAGUCUCAUGUGCCGUGGGAUCGCUUGGCUGGAGUCGGCGACCUUCAGGUGAAGAGUGGGCGUGAGUCCGAUGGUGGGGCACAG